UUAAGUUCAGCGGGUAGUCCUACCUGAUCUGAGGUCAGAGAUAGAGAUGGUCAUUAGAGUGGCUCACGAAACUGAGACGUUUUCCACUUAGUCAUUUAAGGAAGGCCAGAGGCGAUCCCAAAGCACGCGCCGCGGUUCAGAAAACCGGACGGGUGAGGUUCUAAUGACACUCAGACAGGCAUACCCUUUGGAAUACCAAA
rnacentral:misc_RNA from 1 species